rnacentral:rRNA from 1 species
GAAUGCUGACAUAAGUAACGAUAAAGCGGGUGAAAAGCCCGCUCGCCGGAAGACCAAGGGUUCCUGUCCAACGUUAAUCGGGGCAGGGUGAGUCGACCCCUAAGGCGAGGCCGAAAGGCGUAGUCGAUGGGAAACGGGUUAAUAUUCCCGUACUUGGUGUUACUGCGAAGGGGGGACGGAGAAGGCUAUGUUGGCCGGGCGACGGUUGUCCCGGUUUAAGCGUGUAGGUGUGUGUUCCAGGUAAAUCCGGUUCACUUUAACACUGAGGCGUGACGACGAGGCACUACGGUGCUGAAGCAACAAAUGCCCUGCUUCCAGGAAAAGCCUCUAAGCAUCAGGUAACACGAAAUCGUACCCCAAACCGACACAGGUGGUCAGGUAGAGAAUACCAAGGCGCUUGAGAGAACUCGGGUGAAGGAACUAGGCAAAAUGGUGCCGUAACUUCGGGAGAAGGCACGC